rnacentral:rRNA from 1 species
UACGAAGGGGGCUAGCGUUUUUCGGAAUUACUGGGCGUAAAGCGUACGCAGGCGGCUCAUCAAGUCAGAGGUGAAAGCCCAGGGCUCAACCCUGGAACUGCCUUUGAAACUGUUGGGCUUGAGUACGGGAGAGGUGAGUGGAAUUCCGAGUGUAGAGGUGAAAUGCGUAGAGAUCGGGAGGAACAUCAGUGGCGAAGGCGGCCAUCUGGGACAACACUGACGCUGAAGCACGAAAGCGUGGGGAGCAAACAGG